rnacentral:lncRNA from 1 species
AUGUUGAGGUUAAACCCAUGAAAAAUGAUUGAAUUGUGUGAACAAUGAAAAUGUUGAUGUUAAACCCAUGAAGUUUGAUUGAAUUGUGGGAAUGAUGAAAAUGUUGUUGUUAAACCCAUGAAAAUAAAUUGAAUUAUGGGAAUGAAGAAAAUAUUGAUGUUAAACCCAUGACAUUUGAUUGAAUUGUGUGAAUGAUGAAAAUGUUGUUGUUAAACCCAUGAAAUUUAAUUAAAUUGUGUGAAUGAUAAAAAAAUUCUUGUUAAACCCAUGAAAUUUG